rnacentral:SRP_RNA from 1 species
AGUGGGGGUCCCCACGCAAUGGAAACUUUCGAACCGUGUCAGGACAGGAAUGUAGCAGCACUAAGGAAGACCUUUCAUGUGCCGUGAGAUAGCCGCCGCGGAGC